rnacentral:rRNA from 1 species
AGAGUUUGAUUCUGGCUCAGAACGAACGCUGGCGGCAUGCCUAAUACAUGCAAGUCGAACGGAGAUAGCAAUAUCUUAGUGGCGAACGGGUGCGUAACACGUGAGCAACCUGCCUUAUACAUCGGAAUAACAGCUGGAAACGGCUGCUAAUACCGGAUAAGACCACACCAAGGCAUCUUGGAGAGGUCAAAGCGAAUUAGCGGUAUAAGAUGGGCUCGCGUCCAAUUAGCUAGUUGGUGGGGUAACGGCCCACCAAGGCAACGAUUGGUAGCCGACUUGAGAGAGUGAUCGGCCACACUGGAACUGAGACACGGUCCAGACUCCUACGGGAGGCAGCAGUAGGGAAUAUUGGGCAAUGGAGGAAAAACCUCUUACCCAGCAAUGCCGCGUGAAUGAUGAAGGUCUUAUGGAUUGUAAAGUUCUUUAAUUGGGGACGAAAGGAAUGACGGUACCCAAAGAAUAAGCCCCGGCUAACUAUGUGCCAGCCGCGGC